rnacentral:rRNA from 1 species
UACGAAGGGGGGCAAGCGUUGUUCGGAUUUACUGGGCGUAAAGCGUGCGCAGGCGGUUCGUUGUGUCGGCGGUGAAAGCCCCGGGCUCAACCUGGGAAUGGCCGUUGAAACUGGCGAACUGGAGUGUGGCAGAGGGGGGUGGAAUUCCGCGUGUAGCAGUGAAAUGCGUAGAGAUGCGGAGGAACACCGAUGGCGAAGGCAGCCCCCUGGGCUGACACUGACGCUCAGGCACGAAAGCGUGGGGAGCAAACAGG